UACGAAGGGGGCUAGCGUUGUUCGGAAUCACUGGGCGUAAAGGGCGCGUAGGCGGUCUGUUAAGUGUGAAGUGAAAUCUCCAGGGCUCAACCCGGAAACUGCUUCGCAUACUGGCAGGCUGGAGGAACGGAGAGGUGAGUGGAAUUCCUGGUGUACCGGUGAAAUGGGUUGAUAUCAGGAGGAACACCGAUGGCGAAGGCAGCUCACUGGCCGUUAUCUGACGCUGAGGCGCGAAAGCGUGGGUAGCAAACAGG
rnacentral:rRNA from 1 species